GACGAACGCUGGCGGCGUGCUUAACACAUGCAAGUCGUACGGUAAGGCCCUUUCGGGGGUACACGAGUGGCGCACGGGUGAGUAACACGUGAGUAACCUGCCCACAACUUUGGGAUAACGCUAGGAAACUGGUGCUAAUACUGGCUAUGUGCUCCUGCUGCAUGGUGGGGGUUGGAAAGCUCCGGCGGUUGUGGAUGGACUCGCGGCCUAUCAGCUUGUUGGUGGGGUAGUGGCCUACCAAGGCGGCGACGGGUAGCCGGCCUGAGAGGGUGACCGGCCACAUUGGGACUGAGAUACGGCCCAGACGCCGACGGGAGGCAGCAGUGGGGAAGAUUGCACAAGGGGCGCAAGCCUGAUGCAGCAACGCCGCGUGCGGGAUGACGGCCUUCGGGUUGAAAACCGCUUUCAGCAGGGACGAAGCUUUUUGUGACGGUACCUGCAGAAGAAGCACCGGCUAACUACGUG
rnacentral:rRNA from 1 species